rnacentral:lncRNA from 10 species
CCUGUGCAAUCUCAAGUCAGAAGCUGAAUGUCUUUUGGAAGAGAUGAGGGCACGGUUAGCACCAAAACCAGGGCAGGGAAGGAGGCUACAUGACUCACGAAGUCAAGCCAUCAGCAGAUUUGCUACCUUUUGCUUUGUUACAGGAGAGAGCAGUGGAAGACAACGUUCCCACAGGGAUUUCUAUUCAUUUCAGCAAUUUAAUAUUCCUCAUGUUUAUCCGUUGGUGCAUUCUCUAGUUUGCAAGUUUAUGCUUGAGAAUGUCUUUUAAUAUUUUUCCUAAAAAAAAAAAUCCUACUUUAUUAAACUCAAAAAGAUUCUUUUGGCACAAAAGGGAUAUUGGGCUACUCUAGGCACACUGCCUAUGGUGUAGCCCUGCUCCUUAAGAAGUAGUUAAAAAAAAAAAAAAAGAGCCUGGGCAAGGUGGCUCACACUUGUAAUCCCAGCACUUUGGGAGGCCAAGGCGGGUGGGUCGGGAGAUCGAGACCAUCCUGGCUAACAUGGUGAAACCCCGUCUCUACUAAAAAUACAAAAAAAUUAGCCAGUCAUGGUGGUAGGCGCCUGUAGUCCCAGCUGCUGGGGAGACUGAGGCAGGAGAAUGGCGUGAACCCGGGAGGUGGAGCUUGCAGUGAGCCGAGAUCAUGCCACUGCACUCCAGCCUGGGUGACAGAGCGAGGACUCUGUCUCAAAAAAAAAAUAAAUAAAUAAGUAAUAAAA